GCGCCCCCAAAUUCCCGCCAGGAGCCGCGCCUGCAGGCUGCAGUGAACCGACAGCGCCCCCGCCCGCCGAGUAGUCGGCAUCAGCAUCCGCCGAGCCGCCAGCGAGAGAGGGACACACACAGGGGGAACAAGACGACCAUGUCCUCCUGGGACGACGACGACGACUCUGCUGCUGCGGCGGCGGCCACGGACGUCGAGCUGCUCAAGCGGGCGUGGCGCGACGAGAAGGCCGCGCCGGAGAUCCUCCGCUUCGACUUGCCCCUCGUUUCCCGCGUCCGAGAGCAGAUCCAGCUCCUCGUACGCUCUUCUCCCUACCCGUCUUUGCAGUGCCGGAGCCUGAGCUGGACACCUUCGUCUUCUGCAAGACCAAGAGCGACGUAGGCGCGUUCCAGCUAGAUGACAUAGGCGAGGAGGUCGUGGACUUGGUCGCUGAUGACCUCUACGUUCUUCGGUACAAGUCCAUCAAGGGACUCGUCGAGAGCAACCGGAUCGACCUUGUUUGGUGUCAGUGGCGGUGGCGCCGCGAGCCGUCAGGGUCUGCAGGACACAGCAUGCAAGCAUGGGAGAUGCGACGGCAAAGGCUUGUAAGUUGUAACAUGUCAUGAAUCUUUUGGUUCAGGAUUCUUUUCGAGUCGUGGAAAGUAAGGGAUCAAUGGAAGAAAAAUACUAAGCACCGUCGCAGAGGUAAACCUCAGUUGAAAGCCGAUGUCUAUGUGCCAUUCGCAUAUGGCUUAGGCUUUCCAUGUAUCUCAUAACUUGUGUUAGAGAAUUUGGGCCUGGCCCAAUAAUAAAUCUUGUAAAUUCC